rnacentral:tRNA from 1 species
AUUCGUAUAGUAUAAAAGUAUAUUUGACUUCCAAUCAAAAGGCCUAUUCUAUCAUAGUAUGAAUA